AUGACCGAGUGGAAGACAGCAGCACCAGUGGUAGCAGAGAGCCCUGGCAUCAAACUCUUUGGGAAGUGGAGCUCCGAUGAUGCGCAGAUCUAUGACACUUCCUUGCAGGAUUACACUGCAGUGAAGGAGAAGUAUGCCAAGUACCUGCCUCACAGUGCAGAGCAGUAUGCCACCAAACGCUUCCGCAAAGCUCAGUGCCCCAUCGUAGAGGGCCUCGCUUACUCCAUGAUGAUGCACGGCCGCAACAAACGCAAGCAGCUCAUGAUUGUGCGCAUCGUCAAGCACGCCUUCGAGAUCAUCCAGCUGCUCACAGGCGACAACACUCUGCAGGUCCUGGUGAACGCCAUCAUCAACAGUGGUCCCCCGGAGGACUGCACAUGCAUUGGGCGAGCCAGGACGGUGAGACGACAGGCUGUGAACGUGUCCCCAUUACUCCGUGUUAAUCAGGCCAUCUGGCCGCGGUGCACAGGCGCUCUUGAGGCUGCCUUCCGGAACAUCAAGACCAUUGCGGAGUGCCUGGCAGAUGAGCUCAUCAAUGCUGCCAAGGGCUCCUCCAACUCCUAUGCCAUCAAGAAGAAGGACGAGCUGGAGUGUGUGGCCAAGUCCAACCGCCGAUUUUCCCGGUUGCUGCCCAAUAAACCUGUCUGCAUUCUGCCUUUUGGGAUGGCCUCACAAAAAAAAAAAAAAAAAAAAAAAAAAAAAAAAAGUAGCUAG